CUCUGUCACAGGCAGGCAUAAAUUUCAGCAUUGAUCUUAUGUCUGCUUUCUUAGCCUGGCUAAGACCUUCACCAGCUCUAGCAAUGACGGGGUCAGCUACUUGAUAGAGAACAUUGCUCUUGACCUUGUUUCUUGUCAACUUGGGCUCCAGCACAUUCUUCGUAACCAAUUCUUCUGAAAAGUUAGUCUUGUAGCCAAGGAUCUUGGGUUCCACCUG